rnacentral:rRNA from 1 species
GAUGAACGCUGGCGGCGUGCUUAACACAUGCAAGUCGAACGAUGAAGCCCAGCUUGCUGGGUGGAUUAGUGGCGAACGGGUGAGUAACACGUGAGUAACCUGCCCUUAACUCUGGGAUAAGCCUGGGAAACUAGGUCUAAUACCGGAUAGGAGCGCCCACCGCAUGGUGGGUGUUGGAAAGAUUUAUCGGUUUUGGAUGGACUCGCGGCCUAUCAGCUUGUUGGUGAGGUAAUGGCUCACCAAGGCGACGACGGGUAGCCGGCCUGAGAGGGUGACCGGCCACACUGGGACUGAGACACGGCCCAGACUCCUACGGGAGGCAGCAGUGGGGAAUAUUGCACAAUGGGCGAAAGCCUGAUGCAGCGACGCCGCGUGAGGGAUGACGGCCUUCGGGUUGUAAACCUCUUUCAGUAGGGAAGAAGCGAAAGUGACGGUACCUGCAGAAGAAGCACCGGCUAACUACGUGCCAGCAGCCGCGGUAAUACGUAGGGUGCGAGCGUUAUCCGGAAUUAUUGGGCGUAAAGAGCUCGUAGGCGGUUUGUCGCGUCUGUCGUGAAAGUCCGGGGCUUAACCCCGGAUCUGCGGUGGGUACGGGCAGACUAGAGUGCAGUAGGGGAGACUGGAAUUCCUGGUGUAGCGGUGGAAUGCGCAGAUAUCAGGAGGAACACCGAUGGCGAAGGCAGGUCUCUGGGCUGUAACUGACGCUGAGGAGCGAAAGCAUGGGGAGCGAACAGGAUUAGAUACCCUGGUAGUCCAUGCCGUAAACGUUGGGCACUAGGUGUGGGGACCAUUCCACGGUUUCCGCGCCGCAGCUAACGCAUUAA